AUAUUAAAAAUGCUUAAAAAGUGCUUGUUUUAUUAAAGGCCAAGAAAACAAUGACUGGAACAUCACUUUCAAUCCACCAGAAGUUACUGCAGUUGCAGGAUUAUGUGUUCUCAUUUCAUGUACCUUCACUUAUCCAGAUGAAGCAAAACCUAGUAAUGUUCUGUGGAAUGAGUGUAAUAAAAAAGGAAACUGUAAGAAUGAAAUAUUCAACUUAAGAUAUGUGACAGAAGAAAAGGUGAAUGGGACUGAAGAAAAGAAAAACAUUAAACCAGGACGGAUUGAGAUGCUUGAACCUGAUCUGACCAAAAACAACUGCAGCAUCAUCAUGAAAACCAUAACAGCAAGUGAUAAAAAAGAAUAUAUGCUCAGACUGGAGGAGUCUGGUCGAAACACAUAUAACCUCACAGUUAAGAUCAUAAUCCAAGGUAACGCUUACUUAUGUUUGGCAAUGUUAAACAGGUCCUGCGUUUUUGUGUAGUCUGAUGUUCUCUUUCAGUUAUCUGUUGNCAACGUUGACCUUAACUCCAACCUCUGACCUGCACAAUGCCACUGUAACAUGUGAAGUGAGCUACGGAAGCAAAAACAUCAGUACAAGUAGGACCCUCGAAGUCAUGUGUGAUACAAAUGAACUGAAAGUGAACGGUCCUGGAAGUGAAAACAUGCCACUGAAUGACACCACCACAAAAACUACAGCAGCUUUUCAAAUGCAUGUGGACAUCAGAAUAAUAACAGCAUGUCUGACGGGAAUAUCCAUUUCAGCAGUCAUCUUUUCUGUGGUUUUGUGCUGUCAAGAGUCUUGGAAAAGCAAAGACAAGACACAUCAAGUGGUGGCCACAGACACAUACACUGAAGUUGUACUGGAGGUUUUUCCAGGAAAAAAUAUGUGGACAUAUAGUAUGAAAGAGUGAAAUUAAUAAUUAGAUUUUAAGGAACUCCUUAUAUGCAUUUUUUUUAAUUCUUGGAUAUUGAUUAUUCUGAAAUUGUAAAAUAGUUUUUUUUAAUUCACUGUCUCUUCACAGAUCCAGAAACUUUAUUCUAUCUGAGCUUAUUUUUGCCAUUCCCAAAUGUUUUCUUCUUGUUCAGAUGUUCUUUUAUAAAAUAAACAGUGUGAAUUAAUUCA
ensembl:lncRNA